GACUGGAUAGCCUAAUAGUAAAGGCAUCACAUUGACAAUGCUUGGGUCCCAGGUUCAAACCCUGGUCUAGUCA
rnacentral:tRNA from 1 species